rnacentral:rRNA from 1 species
UAGGGAAUCUUCCACAAUGGACGCAAGUCUGAUGGAGCAACGCCGCGUGAGUGAAGAAGGUUUUCGGAUCGUAAAGCUCUGUUGUUGGUGAAGAAGGAUAGAGGCAGUAACUGGUCUGUAUUUGACGGUAAUCAACCAGAAAGUCACGGCUAACUACGUGCCAGCAGCCGCGGUAAUACGUAGGUGGCAAGCGUUGUCCGGAUUUAUUGGGCGUAAAGCGAGCGCAGGCGGAAUGAUAAGUCUGAUGUGAAAGCCCACGGCUCAACCGUGGAACUGCAUCGGAAACUGUCAUUCUUGAGUGCAGAAGAGGAGAGUGGAAUUCCAUGUGUAGCGGUGGAAUGCGUAGAUAUAUGGAAGAACACCAGUGGCGAAGGCGGCGCUCUGGUCUGCAACUGACGCUGAGGCUCGAAAGCAUGGGUAGCGAACAGG